ensembl:lncRNA
UGCCACAUCUGUCCAGCUUUAAUUCCACUGUCUGGUCAUCACAUACUUGGAAUUGCAACAGUAGGGGGAAAAACAGAGGAAGAGAUAAUACUAGUCUGGAAAAAAAUAUAGCUUUUUCAUAGUGAUGGUCUAAGUCGUUUAAUUCCUGGCUUAACGGAUACCCUGCAUGUCAAAUGAAAUAAUAAAGUCUGCAGCUACAGUGCACUGUGCAUAUCCGGAGGUGAGAAAGAGAGCAAGAAGAAAAAAGAAAAAAAAACUAAUUUACUGUGAAAAGCCUGCCUUGUUUAAAAUGUGACGACAUUUACAAUUCCUGAGAGACCUGUGAAGGCAACAGCGGUGGCCUCAUUCACAGCCUAGCAGACUGCAAGCCUCUGUCUGCUCUGCUCUGCAUCUUCUAGCACUUUCUAUACCAAUCAAUCUCUUCUCUGUGAGGCCCUUUGUUGGGCUUACAGGACAACAAAUGGCAGUAAAAACAGCUCAACAUGCCCUUCCGUCACUGUGUGAUUUUUAUAUAUCGCGAUGCCUUGGUACCACGGUGUCUGCUUAGACCAGACCAUUUGUCUUGCUUGACUAUUUGCGCAUUUAAAUAUAGGAGGCAGGAGAAAACAUCCCAUAAUUACACCUUUAAACCCAGGCUACUGGGGUAUUUUUUUGGUUUUUGAAUGUAGCAAUUUAGCCGCUUUUAAGGCGGAAUUGGGAGUCCCUGAGCGGCAGCAUCUUGCUGCAUAAGGGCUUAUGUGUUCAGGAGGGUCUGGUUACAUUCCACAACUGCUGCCCUCACCAGACACAAAGCUGUAUUCUUUAAAUACUCAGCCCGAGGCUGAAGGCACUGUAUUAUUUUUGGGCAAAGGAGGUUUAGGAGGUUCCAAAAGUUAUCCUGUUUCUAAGAAUUUUUGCAGGAAAGUACAAAGAACUUUCGACUUUUGUGGAAGACUGUGUCUUUGAGGGAAAGAGAUAAUUUGUUCUGUUGGGUGCAGAACAUCUGAGAAGUCAUACACAAAGAAAGGGAGUUUUCUGUAAAUAAAGAAAGAUCUGGGCAGGGUUGGAUGGGGCUAAGUAAGUGCCCAGAUUAGGCACCAUCAGGAGCAGCAAGGCACCACCAGGGGUUAUGGAGGCAGAGUUGUGUCUGGCCCCAAUCGAUUAAAAAGCAAUCUGCUGUCCAUGGUCCAUCUCGGGGCAGCUCUGUGACAGGUCCUUGAUGAAGAUGAAGCUGUGAUGGGGGUUGAGCUGUCUGGCUACUCCCCCUUGUUUCAGUCUGCUGGGCAUCUGAGAGUCAGUCAUCCAAAGAGGGCAGUUUCUGGCUGCAGAAACAUCAGUCCCACAGGCAAGAGCAACAGUGGAAAGACCAGCUUCAGAAAGCACAAGCACUUCCUUAUUAUUUGGAGUCAUAAGAAGCACAAGACAUAGAUAUGAGGGAGGGGCAAAAAAAAGCUGGUUAAGCAUUUGGCUGGGACAAAAACAGGACAGGAUCUUUACUCUCCUGGAACCUGAAAGUUUCCACCUCUGGCUGAAACUAUGUUAGCAACCUUUUGGGAGCUGGUGUGGUAAGAAUGAACCAAGUGGAGAUGGAACAGGGCAGAUUUUGACUUCAUAAGUCAUCUCACAAAAGAGUCCAGAGACAUGAAAGCAAUGGGUUUUAAACAAAAUUGUGUUAUCCAGCUCACGGGUGGGACCAACAGCCAUUCUCUGGUGUGGAGCAAAGACUGAAGGCCCCCUGAACACCGAAAAAAACCUACAGAUUUUAUACUCUGAAUUGUAUACUAUAACUCUCGUCUUGCUACAAUUAAAUCGAUUCUAGGAGUGGACAUAACACAUUACUCUGAAUAAACAUCAGACAUGGAAUGAUCCAAUGUAUGAGAAGAUACUUGCCUCCCAGGGGAAAAACUCAGGCAAAGAGUUUUAUCUUUACAGAACAGUGACAAUGUCUAAGUUUCAUGGCGACUGUUUCACCUAGUCUGGUAUAACCAGACCCUAAUUCUCGUUGUGAAUAGCAAUGCUCCAUUGGGGAUUGUUUCCAGUUGUUGUAUUCUAAUGGGAACAAGUCUUGUUGGCAUUGAUCAGUAUGGGAUGGCAAUACUUCCUACUUUUCCACUAACGGUGCAAGCUUUUCCCAAAACCCGCUGGCAGUCAGGAAACAAUGGGCCUCAUGCAGCAACAUUCUCUUAAAUUUCUCUUAUAUAUUCCUGCAUGAGGCCCAAUGUCUUUACCCUUGGUGAAUAAAUCUACACAUUCUUCUUGUUCCAGCUUCCAUUCCUCAAUUCUUCACUUGCUACUACUGUUUGCAUUGCUUUGUCUAGCACUAGCACUGCCGCCAUUGUUGUUACUAAAUAUCUAAGUGGUCGCUUAUUGGUCUGCCCUUCAGAGUGGCUGAGCGAAUCCCCAUCCGAACAGGGUUUCCAGACUGCAAUCUCAGCAAAAAUUGAGCUGAGAGCAAUAAGCGGCGGAGUCAGGCUAUGUUUCACCAGCAAAUCACAAUAAUUUUUGUCCCAGUUGCUUUGACACUUGUUUUGACAUCGAUACGUCCUUCUCCAAACAAGGUACAUUACAUCAUGCUGCUCAGCUAAAGGAAAUACAAAAAGCUUUGUUUAAACACAAAAUUACAUUAUCUAUCUAUCAAAGUCCAUGUGUUAGCCUGCAACUAGGUUCCCUUUUUUGUGUUGGGGCGAAGAUUGAUCCUAAGCCUACGUCAGAAAGGUGGUGGCAGGCUGUGCGCCAAUAUGACUGAGAAUAGCCAUACAGGUCACACAUGAGUGCCCACUGCUUCAUCCCACAGACAUCAGUCCAGCUGAGGAGAAAAAUGGGUAGAACUGUCUGGACACCUGCUUUUGUCUAGAUUAACUCGUUUGGGGACUUCACAGUCCAGUCCAGGUGUCUGGGUAGACAGCCACUGGGCUUGGGACUCUGAGGCGGUAGUCAGAAGGGAAGGUUAAUUGAGACUGAUUGGUGUGGUGAUGCGGAGGGAAGCCGCACCAGCUCUGCCCUAUAGAGGGGAUGCUUGUUCAAAGACAAGGAGGACAUCCAUCCAGUGACAGAGGACCAUGGCAAGCGGCGGUCUACAAAGGGGAGGGAGGCCGUGACGGCAGCCCAGUAUGUAAGAUGUGAUUGAAGGAAGGGAGUGACAUGGCCGUGCUAGUCGAGGGCAUUUUGUGGAAGGUUCAAUGCUUGACAGCUCUUCUCUGCCCUUGCCGGAGCGGUUUCUCUCUGAAGUGAGAUGUAAUGCCUUCCAUUUUAAUGCAAAAUGCACUGUUAAUGAGGACAAAAUAUCAGCGAUACAGAUGGGGGAAGAAAAAAAAAGAAAAUCAAAAAAGUCGAAAUUCCAAGAGGUAACAGCAGUGGAUGAAACAUGCAAGCAAAUGAAUCCAGCAUCAUUCGGCCUGAAAAACGCAUUGUUUUGAUUAAGACAAUGCUCUCUUUGUAAAGAUUAAUUAAAAUAAAUGUAAUUAGCGAGCUCUGGUUUCCCACAGCUCUAAUGAGGGACAUGGAGGCAACAGAGCCACCCUGCUAGCUUCACGCUACAAAGCUCCCUUUUUUCUGAAUUAUGGUCUCAUCUUCCCAUGCUGUGCAAAUGCUGAAAUAAUUUACAGCGGUACGGCAACACACAUCAUUUUAAUUCCAAUUCCCUGUGGUUUAUGAGCAUUCAUUCCAUCUAUCUAUCUCUUAGGCAUCUUUCCUCGUAUCCUAUCAAGAACUGAAGAGCAGCAGAUACUUCAUCAUGCAAUGGAUAUGGCAAUGUGAAUAGUCCUUCAUUAAAUAUAUAACUAUUUGACUAAUCAAUUAUUAAUCUGCUAGCCACAAGUUCUGGAUGCUCUCAGAAGUCUGGGCAAAAACAACGGAGAACCAACGGGUAAAACACAGAAUGCCAGUGGGAAAAGCUGAUGAUGAUAAACCAUUAGAAAUAAUCUUCAACAUGAAGUUAUUAAGUUGUUGCCAAGUGUAAAUGACAAUGAACAUCAGAAUGGUGCACAUUUGAGCAGAAAUCAUUUGGCAUGAAUGAUGAAUGAAAGUGUCGUAGGUGGAAGGUGGAAGGUGGAAGGUGGAAGGCUCACUGGUUUGUCUAUGAGACCUGCCAGUUUAAACUCUAGAUUUUCUCUCUCACACCUGUAAUAAGUGAGAAAUGCAUACUGACAGCAAUUAACACAUGUAUGGACAACACCACACAAUACAGCACCGUGUUCAUCACCACUAAUUACUUAUGGAUUAGCCUGCAACAACUCAACAAGACAAUUGGCAUUCAAUGGUAAUGGCGCAGGUAAUGGUCACAUGGUGCUGGAGGCAUAGAGCAUAAUGGGACAAUAACCCGGGGAAGAAGACCAGCACCACCCCUCACCCACACAAACAAACAAACAAACAGAAACACAAACAACCGACGUAAACCCAGUACACUGUGUUCCCGCUGUGUCCACACAUAGUAAAAUAUUUUCAAACUUAAAUUUCUCUAUAGUUAUCUUAUUUUGGCUACACAAGAGAUGUCUAUCACUGUCUAUUUCAAAAGGAUUCAAUUAUCGGAUGAACGAUGCAUGAGAAGUUAAGCGAAUUGAUACAUCAUUUAGGGGUAACACGUCUUUGUAAUUGUUCAGUGAACAUCACCUUAACCAAAUCCAACCCCUAACCCUAACUUUAACAAUAAAGAUAAAGUUAGCAGAAAAACUGUAAAGUGCUUAAAGUGUGUGAUGCAAAUUUUUAUUUGAAUCACUCAAUUUCCAUAAUGGUGAGGCCAAAUGAAGAAAAACUGGCAAAGAAAAAAGAAGAAAUCAAAGUCUGUGCUUUAUGGUACAUAUUGAAUGUUUAAUUUGAAAGAAUAAAUAUACAUUUCUAUUUGUUAAAUGUGCCGUGUCAAACUGUUACAACUUCUAUAUCAUGAGUGCACCAAAUAGUCGUUAAUACAAGUCCUUAUUUCUUUUAUAUUUCAAGCUUGUUUUUUUUAGUUUAAGCGUAGACUUAUCCUGCUUCAAAGGGUCCAAUAAGCCUAGGGCAUGUUUUGAGCACAACAACCCUUUUACUGAAUACUUACCUUUCAUUUAACAUUGUGCCACCAUAGGUACAUAGACAGCAGGCCCUUGGCAUAUAAACCUUUCUCGAGUUAUUUUUACAUUUGGCAUCUCUUUGUCUGUCUAUCUGUGUUGUGUAGUUCUAUAGUUGAGCUUUAACUACCAAAUAAAAGUCCAAUAAGCCUAGUGCAUGUUUUGAGCACAACAACCCUUUUACUAGAUACUUACCUUUCAUCCUUGUUUCCAGCAGGAGGUCUGGGAAAACUUUUGACUUUCAAGGUCAGAUUACGAGUGUCUCGGAAAAUGAGUGUUAGAAUUGGUAUGUCAGCCUGACAAAGGAGAUGCAAUCAAGAUAGUACAUGCAUUGCUUUUUUAAAGUUUUUCUUUAAUUGGGAAUUUAGGUCAAAAAUAUAACUAUGACAGAUAAUCAAAAAAUUGCGAAUAACAGCCCUGAAUAUCUAACGACCUCUAUUCCCCAUCAGCCUCUUCAAACAAUCAGCCCUGCAGAAUACAAAGUCCUUCUAAUCCAGAAACUGUAGCCACCAGCACCAUACAGCGAGCCCGGCUCUCGCAAAUCCUAAACACUGAAUUGACACAUGGGAGCCUAAGACCAAAAAGCUUCAUUUGGACAGAGACCCACAUACCGAGAGACAUGUAGCGGAAGACAGCUACCCAUCAGCACAAACAAUGCACGAGUAGCAGAGAUGAAUCACUGCAGAGCUGGAACUGAGGGAGCCCUCUGACGGGGAACAACCACAAAAGGCGAAAACAAAUUCAGUGCUGUAUUAUUCAGCAUCAAAAGUGGCCAAGAGUGACCCCUGGAUGGUUGCUAUAGAGGAGGGUAGAUAAAAUUGUGGAGCUAUUGUUGUAAGCGACCUUAGUAUGAAUCCCCACAUAUUCACAGAGAUAACAGGGAUCCUUGUCAAAGGCUCCACGCAUUUCUAUUGGUGCUGAAAUUAUAGUCAUUUGGCACGCCGUGAGUCACCUUCAAAAGGGGAAAAAAACGACACACUGCCUUCGAAAGGGAAGAGACAAACCCACAGACAGUGACUCUUUGACGUGUGAACAAACAUCCCCCUACCGAAAACUGAUAAGUGACUCUCCAUCUCCGUGCGCUGAUGGAGAAUCGCCUCGCGUUCUAUCAAUCAUGGAUCCGACGAGUGCGUCUCUAAACACGGGUGCAGCUGCGGAACCAGUCAACCUGAAAAGAGAUCCUCGCGAGCCGAGGCUGGCUGGUAAUGGACCACCCCCAUCUUCCUGUCACCCAUCAUUUAGGUAAGAGCAGUGGCUCAGCCUUGGCUGCUGUCAGGCCAUGUCUUAUUAAUGUUGUCGUGCCUUUUUUUAUUUCUUAUGUCUUUUCCCUCCGUUGCUACAAUUCUUCACGUCAACCUCUCCCUGGCUCAUCUUACUCAUGAGGGCUACCACUCCACAGCACUUGUUAGCAGACAAAAUGAAGAGGAACAUCCCCUCGAUCUAGAGAGGCGUGGACUAUCCUGCAAACACCAGAACUACAGAACCAUGACACAUCUCAGAAGUCUCUGCAAUGCCCACAACCCUAAAUAAGACCAAUAUGGAUGAAUAGCCUCAAUUUUUUUGAUUGGCAAACCUAGAGGACAUUUGCACAAGAACCUGCAGAUUCCUACUGCUCAAUGCUACUCAGAGGUAUUGCAGUAGCAGGCUAAUUCUAGUCUUGCACUAGUCAAAGCUAAUAUUUGUUUCCAUAUCUCUCACACAUAACAACAGAAAUAAUUCUGACUUCAGUAAAGCAUUUCAGCAGGAGGGGGAAAAAAAUCUGGCGUUUGGGCAGCGCAAAAAAAUCCCUUUAACUGUGCUUAAUUUAUCUCCAAGUCUAGUUUCUCAAUCUUAAAAUGGUGGGAAGCAUAAAAAGUAUUUAAAAGUAUUUACACUGCAUCGACUGAACUGGCAGCCAGACAUUUCCCUUUCUUUAUGUGGCCCCAUACAGCAGGAGAAAACACCAUGCCCACUUCAUUUCUGGCGGAGUGAAAAUUAAUUGGAGCAGACAAAAAUCAAUAAUACUGGCUUCAGUGAGAUUCAAAAAUAAUUGUCAGAGAACAAGAUGGAGAAUCUGAUUUAGAGGAGGCUCUUAGUGACAGCCCACUGCAGAGACUAUAGUUUUUUUACAACUGGAAUCUUAAAGAUGGGAUGUAGGGAACUGAAGUAGCUUAUCAUUUAUAUUCUAAAGUCACUCAUAAUAAACUUAAUAUGUAUUUGGUUGGGUCCUUGGUGUCAAUCCAAAUGCAUAAGGAAUGUCUUCCCUACAGGCCUGCAUUUUCAGGACUGCAUUGUUUUCUGCAUCGCUUCUAAGCUAAACACAGUUUAAUAAAGAGAAUAUCCAUGCUUGUUUUGUGACGUACACUUUCACAUUGUUCCUCAUCACUCAAGUAGGGUUCAGCAAGUGGUCCGAUUUCAAUCUUUCUGCUGGUGCUGGGGUGUUCAUGUGACAGGGUUGAGCUGCCAAGCUCCAGCAUGCUGCACUGAUCUCUGGCAUCCAUGCCAGAUUAGUCUCUCUCCUUCAGUUCUCAGAGAGAAGCCCAAGCCCAAAACAGAAGGAAAGAGAUAGAUAGAGAGAGAGAGAGAGAGAGAGAGAGAGAGAUCAAAGUGGAAUGCUUAAAAUGUCUUGGAAUACACGUCUCUAUCCCUGAGUUGUACAAUCACAGCCUUCCCAACCAAUAUUUAUUUACAGGAAAUCCUCAAGUAAGGGCAAUGCUGCAAUUCUGCUCAAAGAUCUGCAUGUGCAAGGGAGGAGAAAGAGGAGAGAAAAAGACAGAGCAAGAGAGAGAGAGAGAGAGAGAGAGAGAGAGAGAGAGAGAGAGAGAGAGAGAGAGAUCCAAAUCAGCUCAUUAAAAAUGCCUGUGGGCAAUCGCUGGUCUCUAGCAUCUAAAAGUCAGCCAUUAACUCUAAGCAGAUGUUAACUUUCAUCAGGGAUACCCGGGCGACUUCACACAACGCAGCUCAGUUCCCACAGAAAGGGGCCAAUUUGCCUGGUGGUCACAAUCACAAUAAUGUCAUAUGUUGUCCCCCACCGGUGACCCGUGCACUGUCAAACCUACAAAUCUACAUUCUGCCUUGUUAGACUCCUCUGGCUUGGCUAUGCUACAGAGAGAGAGAGAGAGAGAGAGAGAGAGAGAGAAAAGGAAAGUGAGAGAGACAUAGAGACACUCAACUCCCAGAUAGAGAGAGCACAGCUGCCCUCUAUGGACAGAAAGAUGUACUGCAUGAGAUAAGAAUGCCACUGCUCUUCCUUUGCAUAUCUCACGUCUCUCUCACUCACGUGGAGGAGGCGCUGAGGAUCAGGUGUGGAGCGCUAAUGAAGGCGCUAAUCCUGCCAAUGUGGCAAAAGGGCCACUGCUGACUCACUACAACUGCUGAUGCUGUGCGUGUGUGUGCAUACGUGUGUGUGUGCAUGUGCGUGUGCAUGUGCGUGUGUGUAUGCGUGUGCGUGUGCAUGUGCGUGUGUGUGUGCGUGUGUGCAUGUGUGUGUGUGCAUGUGUGUGUGCGCGGGUGUGUGUGUGCGCGCGCGUGUCUUUUCUCUGUGGUUGGCUUCAUUGGGAUUUGCUCAUUUCUCUCCAACUUGAUUUUUUGAUGUAUGGAAACAUGGAAACACAAGGGUAAUAAUAGAUCCUCUUGGUGACCGUUGGGAUGAAAUCCUAUUGAAUCCUCCUCCUCGUGCCAAGUUCAAUAGCCAUGCAGCAGCAGCAGCCGCAGCAGCAGCAGCGUCUGUGUUUGCUUUUGCAUUCUCAGCUCCCUGAGCCACAUCCCCAUUCUGCGGACGUGUGCGCCGGCGACACAGGGACAGAGACAGAACAGAGGAGGGCGAAAAAAAAGAAAGAAAGAAAGGGAGAGGAAAAAAAAAAGAAAUCUAAAAUCCCCCAGUAAUAGAUUUGCGGAGCGGGCUUAACAAACUGCUCCUGUGUGUACACUCGGCUUAAGGAAGAGAGAGAGACAGAGCAGUCCAUGUUUCUCCCCCUGCUGGGGCCUUACGCUCUGGGAUGCCAUUAAACAGAAGACCUUGCAGGAAAUUAUUGUCCUGUGAGGAGCAGUCAGCCUGGCGCAUUCCCCCGACUCUACCCAGAUGAUGCUUGUGUCUUCAUGCGUACCAGCCUCAAACAUGGAGGGACUGUUAUUAUAUCUUCCAAAUGUUCUGCCCUCAUGUCAAUAUGAUGACACGGAGACAAAGGCAGUCACGACGGCACAACAGAAACCACAAUAUCGCCGGGACACCGCGGCUAGCCUGAAGGUAUCCAACACAGUGCAAAUGUCCUUAGAGUUCACCACAGUCCGCUAUGAAUUAUCCCACUUAAGGUUCGCUGCCUUGGUGCAUAUUUAAAACAAUGUGUAGACAUAAAUGUCAGCACCAGUCUCCUCUUCUCCACAAAUAAGCCAAGAUGAGAGGGGGAAGCAAAUCUAAAUAGGCAUUUCUCCAAGGCUGCUUUUUUUUUGCAUACCAAGCAGGGCCGUGCUUUGGCAAAUUGGCCGCUUAUGCAAUGAAGGAAGCAUAAACUGGCCCAUUAUAGGCUAGAGGUGCCAGGGGUCUGUCUCUGGCUGGGGCCCCUUCAGCCGGAGUGAGGGGUCCAGUGGGCUGUAGCACACGUCAGCUACGAGGCAAAGGGCUGCGUAGCGUAGCGUGGAGAACGUGGAGAAGAACACACGACACAUCUCCAGUCAUGCAUGUAUGCAAUCGGACACACAUGUUCAUCCUCUGUCUCACACACACGCACACGUACACGCACACACACACACACACACAAACACAUGAACACGCAUGCAUGGACUUACACCAACACACAGGGACACGUGCAAGUGUUCACGUACUGCACACACCAAGCAAGAGAGUAGCGCUCACAUGGCAUGGAACACAGGGCAAGAUAAAAAGGAUGUUAUGAGUAGACUGCAGCAUCAAAUACAUGUAGCAUCUUACAGAACAUAAACCCCCUAAUGAUUUUACAUCCUCUACUCCUUAUGACAGGACACCUGAGGCUACGUCUCAGAGAGCUAGAAACGUGUGAACUAGCUGGCAGACAUUUUCUCACCCGCAUGCCAGACCUCUUGACGCCUGUCACCCUGACACAAACCACCAGGCAAUGGGGACGGCCAUGGAAGGUCACGGGUGCAACAGGGGCGAGGGCCCGAAUGCUGGUCCCCGGGUGAGCCACUGGCAUGCUUGGCAGAUCACCUAACCCCACCAGGCCACUCCUCAGUUGUCGCAAUCCCAGACCGGACCAUGGUCUCUGUCCACUUGUAUCUGUCCCACCUGUGUAGGAGAGCUGUGGUGCAAGCAGCAUUGCGGUCAUUUUCCGAUCCCACUCCCCACCUCUUCUCUCCAGCUCAUUUCCUGUCAAAACCUUCACUAUCUUAUCUGAUUUAAAUGCAAAAAGCCCAAAAAUAAAUCUUUAAAAUAAAAAAUAAAAUAGACCUGUGUAAUUAAAUCAACAGAGGAGACAGGGCCGGGUGUUCUGCUGGACUCAGCGUCCACUGAGGGCCCCCUGCAGCCAGGGCCUGUUUCUAUCAGCCACCUUGAUAAACAUGCAUAAGGCAUAAGGACACAGGAAUGCACUCGGGUGGACAAAACCAUGUAGGUUUGAAGAGAUUGCCGGUUACAGACUGUGGUUUGCUUUUGCGGAGUGCUGCUCUUGGUGCAUUAUGCAAAGGCUUGGCCACAAAGUAAAUCUGAAUUCUAGUUACAUAGAUUAUUUCACUUCCAUAUCUUGCUUUUAAGUGAUGGCUUCUUUUUAUCGUUUAGAUAAGGCUUUUUCGAUUCGAGGACGAGGAUGUGAAAGAAACACAAUGUGCGUCCCUGUCAAAGGAUGAAGAAUCCGAGACUCGAUGAGAGAAAGAAAUGCGUUUUUUCUACCAAAAUGUUCUACGUUUUACAUUAUUAGUCUGCCCAUUUCCAUUAUCAUUUUAGUUUAUUGCCCAAACAUUCCCUCAUAAACAUGUUUACGUUUAUCUCAGAAAAGCUAGAAUUUUCUCUUUUCCCAGCCUGGAGGAGCACAGCAGUCCAAGAACAGUCCAGCAUUAGCAGCUGUCACAAAAUUAAUCAUCUCCAAACACUGGAGAGACAACUUUAUGAAACUGCCUCGAAGCAAUUCCAUUCCAUUCAGCGCAGUCUAAACACAGCACAAAUGGCCUCAGAUUCAUAAAGCUGUGGUGCUAUGUAUACAACGAUUCAAACCAUUUCACGCUCAAAUUGCUCACAAUUCAAUAUAGCCAUGCUUUUAAGACAUAUCCAGUGACCCCAUUCAGAAUGUUGAUACACAUAAAUAGCAUGCAUGGGUAUGGAAAACUCAUGAAAAUGACAGAGCAAAUUGGUGGUUUAGUGUGCAUGGAAUGGCCUUCACAAGAAAAUAUAAGUCCAUUUCCUGAACCCCUACAUCAGGCUUAAGUUUGUAAUAUAAGCAAGUGCUCCAUGCACACAGACUUGAGUUCUUGACAUACUGGCUCGCUCCAAGCUAAUAAAAAGGAAAGGAGACAUACUGUAUAGCUCACUCGGAAACAUGGAGAUCUGCCUAACUGGCAUUCCCCAUCCAGGCUCGGUCUCCAAGACAACUGGCCUCCAUCCGCCUCUGCCUGAACCAAUUACACAACCCCUCCAGUCUGGUGUCUGGACUUCACAUGCAGACAUCAGAUUUCUGCACUGAGACUUAAUUUCCCCGCUAAUGCAUUACAACAUCUUCUAUAGUCAAUGUUAGGCAGGCUGUCUGUGACUUGAACCCCUUAUGUGAAGAAAAUUCUAGUAUCCAACUACAUAAAUCAAUUAUUGAAUAUGUGGGUUUGAUUUUCUAUGCCUGACAGAGUGCAGUGAUUACGUUGGUGAAGAGGAGAGUUUAGUGGUGACAAAUGCAAUGCCUUCAUACGCAGCAUGGACAAAAAUACACAAAUAGGCACCAAGAAUGUACUCAAAAACCACAAGAGGAAGAGCAAUAUGAUAUCUGUUCUCUGCUUAAUGUACGUAUGCAGUGAUCUAACCGUGUAAAUAAUUUUCCAUAGGCUAGUGCUCCUGUUUAGCCUCUAGCUGAAGCACCUCUGCAACCCAAUCCCACUGCAAGACAGAUGUCACAAGAACACAGGAGUGCGACACCUCCGUAUCAAGUAACAAACAGCUUUCUUCCUGUAAAUCCAAGCAAGCCAACAGACUCAACACCAUGUCAAGCAGACUUAUGAUCUGCCUCUCCCGAGGACAGGACAAAAAUGAAGAAACAGGAUCUACUGACGCAUAGGAGUAAAUGCCAUGGAAAAAAGGACGAGAACUCCUUAACAUAGCAUUUCUCUGGAAGUCUUCGGAGUCACGAAUGACUGAGUGCGGUUCACUAUCUGUCCCCGCUAGCUCCAGAACCUAGCGAGCAGCAGAGGUACCACACACACACAUACACACACACCGUUCCCCUGACGACCCAGCCGCCCUUCUCAACCGGAGACAGGCAACAGACUCUCACUCGACCGCAUGCCUUAAGGCAAUUCGCAUGGAAACGCCAAAGCUCCCGUGAAUAAUUGUCCUGGAGUCUAAAGUAGCAUGAAAAUACCUCUACUUCAGCGCCAAGAAGGUAAUCCAAAUUAACUCCAGCUAGGCCCUCCUACACCUGUCGCUUUGGCCAUGGCUGAGGACAGAGCUUUGCCGCUUCAUUACCCAGCAGUUCAAAAGGAAUGAGAAUGUUUUCCUCUGCUGGUGGAGACCUUUGAAAGGAGAGCGAAUCCCAAAAAAGAAAGACCUCGAAUCAACAAACUGCACCCCCCGUCAGCACAUUCAACGCCCAGAACCAGACGGGUCGUCCAGCACCAAUCUGUGAAAAUAUUGACAUUCAGGAAGAUUGAAUGGAUAUCAAAUAUGUCUCAUGAGGAGAGACAAUGCUUUCCAAGCAUGCCGUUAAAAGCUACUGAGCUCUCAGGUUUAAGAUUGUUAGAUAACCUUUCCCUGCGAGUGAGGCUCUUCCAACAGAAGAGUACACAAAAUAGUUGGUUAGAUCCAGCAUGGAUCAAGUGAAAUAUUAAUCAUCUCAUAAAUAAACUAUUUUGCUGACUGACCACACAGAAGGAAAUUAUAACCAGAGACAAAUGAUAUUGGCAAAGAGCUCUGCAUUUCACAGUAUCAUAGCUGUACAAGGAGCAUUAUAAUGACCAACCAGGCACCCUACUAUCUGCCAGCACAUCCAAGAGGCAUUGUGUGACUGAGGUGAAAACACACAGAGUGGAAAAGAUACUGCUAGACAGAGAAAAGGGAAAGCCAAGGCAGUGAAAGAGAGAAGGGGGAGGGUGGCAGGCAGGCAGAAAUGCUGUGAGAGAUGGAGUAGAUAGAGGACCCACCACAGCUUCAUUGCCACCAUAUUCCAUAUUCUAAAUGUCAGAUGCUUCUUAGGC